ensembl:snoRNA
AGGUCCAUUCAAAGAGUGCUGUGUGUUGUUCAACAAGCAGUUCUUAACGCUGUGACCUAAUAGGGAGAUCCUCUGCAGGAUAUCAAGAGUACUUGAUGUGUGCUCUGUGGUCUAUACCAGAGGAGACAUG